UAGGGAAUAUUGGGCAAUGGAUGCAAGUCUGACCCAGCCAUGCCGCGUGCCGGAAGAAGGCCCUCAGGGUUGUAAACGGCUUUUAUUCGGGAAGAAGAGCAUGGAUGCGUCUGUGUGUGACGGUACCGAAUGAAUAAGCACCGGCUAACUCCGUGCCAGCAGCCGCGGUAAUACGGAGGGUGCGAGCGUUGUCCGGAUUUAUUGGGUUUAAAGGGUGCGUAGGUGGCUUUUUAAGUCAGUGGUGAAAUACAGCCGCUCAACGGUUGAGGUGCCAUUGAUACUGAAGAGCUUGAAACAAGUGGAGGUUGCCGGAAUGGAUGGUGUAGCGGUGAAAUGCAUAGAUAUCAUCCAGAACACCGAUUGCGAAGGCAGGUGACUACGUUUGAUUUGACACUGAGGCACGAAAGCAUGGGGAGCAAACA
rnacentral:rRNA from 1 species